UACGAGUGCCCCAAGCGUUAUCCGGAAUUAUUGGGUGUAAAGGGUGCGUAGGUGGCGCCGUAAGUCAGGUGUGAAAUUUCGGAGCUUAACUCCGAAACUGCAUUUGAUACUGCGGUGCUUGAGGACUGGAGAGGAGACUGGAAUUUACGGUGUAGCAGUGAAAUGCGUAGAGAUCGUAAGGAAGACCAGUGGCGAAGGCGGGUCUCUGGACAGUUCCUGACACUGAGGCACGAAGGCCAGGGGAGCAAACGGG
rnacentral:rRNA from 1 species